rnacentral:lncRNA from 1 species
AUGCUAUGUGACCAUGAAGACACCGUCUCUGCCACCGGACUGUCCACUGCUGCAGUGGUGGCAAUAGUGUGCAACAUCCUGGUAGCUCUGCUCAUACUAGUUCUCAUAUUAAUCCUCUGCAAAGCAUGCAAGGUUCCCUCCAGCCAGGAGAGCGUCCCGGUGUUGACUUUAGAGAACGCACAGCAGAGCAAUGAGCAGAGGUACUUGCUGACGGCAUGA